rnacentral:rRNA from 1 species
AGGUGGUUAUAGCACGAGGGUUCCACCUCUUCCCAUUCCGAACAGAGAAGUUAAGCCUCGUCACGCCGAUGGUACUGCGUAACAGUGGGAGAGUAGGUAGCCGCCA